rnacentral:lncRNA from 10 species
CAAAACGCCCGGCUAAUUUUUUUGUAUAUUUAGUAGAGACGGGGUUUCACCGUGUUAGCCAGGAUGGUCUCGAUCUCCUGACCUCGUGAUCCACCCACCUUGGCCUCCCAAAGUGCUGGGAUUACAGGCUUGAGCCACCGUGCCCGGCCCUUAAGUACAUUUUUAAUGAUACUAUAUCCUAAUUUUUUUGUAUUUUUAGUAGACACGGGGUUUCACCGUGUUAGCCAGGAUGGUCUCGAUCUCCUGACCUCGUGAUCCGCCCGCCUCAGCCUCCCAAAGUGCUGGGAUUACAGGCGUGAGCCACUGCGCUUAGCCUAAGUUUUUUUCAAUAAGUACUGCUGGUGGAAUGAAUGUCCGUUUCAGAAUCUGUUCCUAGGAUCCUGAGUUUACCAUAUAAAACAUGUAAGUGAGAUAUACAUAUAUUCAUAUGUACAGAAAUACACAUAUAAACAUAUCUAUCAUAGCUUUAUCAUAUAUGUAUGAAGUCUUAUUUAAAUCUCUCUCAGUGGAAACUAGUGUUCAAAGAGAUGUAGUGAUCUCAUU